UACGUAGGGGGCAAGCGUUGUCCGGACUUACUGGGCGUAAAGCGUGUGCAGGCGGGCCGCUAUGUGCCGUGUGAAAGCUCCCAGCUUAUCUGGGAGAGGUCGCGGUAGACAGGCAGCCUGGAGGCUCGGAGAGGUCAGUGGAAUUCUCGGUGUAGUGGUGAAAUGCGUAGAUAUCGAGAGGAACACCAGUGGCGAAGGCGACUCUCUGGUCUGUAACUGACGCUGAGGCGCGAAAGCGUGGGGAGCAAACAGG
rnacentral:rRNA from 1 species